ACCACAAGAUAUUCUAUGAAAAGAGUACAAUGUCCUCCUGGAGGGGUAAAAUUUUCCAUACUCUAAAGAGAGGCCAUUUACUAUUCAAUUUGCGUUCAUUUUCAAAUUUGCCGCGCGAGUAUCUAUGUAGCGUCGCGUGGUCAUUGGUCAUCAAGUCAUCUUAUUUCAUUUUCAUCAUAAGAUAACCUAAAAAUUUAGUAAAAAUUUUGAUUAGAAAAAAAUGCAUCGAUAAGGGGGUGAAAAAUGGAAAUUAGUGGCUUUUUUUUGCUGUACUCAACUGUACUGUUUAGUAUGCUAGUUUUGGCUAUGGCUGGAUCUCUUUAAACAAUUAUAAUCAGCUGAAAGUGGUCUACAAAAAACCAGAUAUAACCAAAAUAAAGAUAUAAAAAGUGUAUUGGCUAAUUGGAAGAAACUCAACAUUGUCCAUGCAUAAUAAGUUAUUACUUUAUAAACAAAUAUUAAGACCUAGGAAUGGAACCUGGAUAUAAUCAUCAAGAAGAUAGCAGGAAUCCCGACAAACAACAGGAAAUCCAGCUCCUCGAUACUACUGGGCAAACUAGAAGAUUGAAGAGGACAAAGCCUUUUGAACUAGUUUGAGUGAUAGGUGAUAGUGAAAAGCAGAGCAUAGUGCGUGAUGUGGCUGUGUAUGUUAGAAUAGUGCACGAUCUUGUUAGAUUAGAUAAGAGACGCUAUCGGGUAAGCUCUUCAUUUUAAGAAACAGUAGUAAUUUAGGUUAAAUUAAAAUUGCUCAUUGGUCAGUUAUGACCAGAUUGCUUUUUUUUAUGUUUGACAAAAAGGGUGUAAGUCAGAAUUGCACAUUGCUAAUGUUUUGAUGAUUUCUGGACCAGCAAAAAACUGUUAUAGACGUAAACUGUAUGUACCAAUAAAAAGAGCCGAUUUUUCUGGUCCAGAAAUCAUCAAAACAUUAUCGAUGUGCAUUUCUGACUUAAGCCCUUUUUCCCAAACAUCAGAGAAUUGCAAUGUACAAAUUCUCCUAUCUGAUUUUUCAUGAAUUUUGUAGGAGACGAAAAACCAUUUUUAGGAUCAUCUCCUGCUUUCACAUGUAAAUUUUGACAUGUCUUGUAGUAAAUAGAUAGAUUUACUACAAAACAUGUCAAAAAAUAUAUGAAAACAGGAGGUGACCAUAAAAAAAGUUUUUAGUCUCUCUUAAAAAAACUCAUGAAAAAACAAAUCGGAGGUAUGUCACAUCAGUGACUAUAUCCAGGGAAUGUCUAAAAAAUAUACUUUGAUGUCCCAAGAACCAAAUAUAACCUUUAUAUAUAUAUACAGGGUGUAACAAAAAUACAGGUCAUAAAUUUAAUCACAUAUCCUGGGACCAAAAAUAGUUUGAUUGGACCUAACUUACCUUAGUACAAAUGUGCACAAAAGAAAAGUUACAGCCCUUUGAAGUUAUAUAUUAAUAGCACCAAGGGCCUUAGAGGCCCAUGGCUUGAAAAGUUUGUUUUUUUCUUCAUUUUCACGUUUCUUUAUGUACUGAGAUCUUCUCUGGCUUGAUAUGUGAUUUUUCUCCAUUCCUUCCUCUUAUUCAUUUUUCUUUUCUGACCCUGUAACACCAUUCUUUCCAAAUCUUUUUCGACCUCUUGCUUCCAUCUAUUUUCCGGUCUUCCUCUUCUCUUUCUUGAAGCUAUAGUGUAGUUUAGUACCCUUUUCGGAGUCCUCGUUUUUGGCAUCCUUUCAAUGUGACCUCGUGAUCUAAGUCUCUGUGCCUUUAUCACUCAUUUGAAGUUACAAAAUGAAAAGUGAUUUUUUCCAAUGUAUCGAAAACAAUGUGCUUUUGUGCACGUUUCAAUUUAAUUAUUAUUGUAGUACCUACCAUUUAAACAAUGUUUUAAAAACUUUUUUGCCUCUUAUUGCUUUUUCAAAAAGUCAAUUUUUAUCGAAAUAUUUUGAAUAUUUGUCAAAUCCACCACAUAUUUGUAUAUGGUUAAGUACGAUUAUGGAGACUUGGUAAUAAUAUGCAAACUUAUUUAUGCUUUACAUUUUUAGGUAUAUUUUGAACCAUAUUAAAAAAGAAGCCAGACUCGAUAAAACGUGCCUUAUCGAAAAAAUACAAAGAGGCAAAAAAGUUUUGAAAACACUCUGUUUAA